UACUGACCGAAUAAAACGGACGCGUAACGAAUGCAUAACGAACACACACCGGAUAUGCAACGUACGAGAAACGGAAACGUACCGGACAGAACGGAUGUCGAACGUACACCCAACGGACGAGUACGGCAUAAAACGGACACCUAACGGAGGCGUUCCGGAUAAAAAGGAUGAACAAGAUAUACGGAAAAAUUAAAGGCGACAAUAAUAAUACAUGUAAAUCGCAUAAAUAUUCAAAAUGUUUCUGUGUAACUGGUUUUGGUUUGUUCUUCAAAAUACCG
rnacentral:lncRNA from 1 species